UACGAAGGGGGCUCGCGUUGCUCGGAUUGACUGGGCGUAAAGGGCGCGUAGGCGGUUCGUACAGUCAGACGUGAAAUUCCUGGGCUCAACCUGGGGGCUGCGUUUGAUACGUGCGGACUUGAGUGCGGAAGAGGGUCGUGGAAUUCCCAGUGUAGAGGUGAAAUUCGUAGAUAUUGGGAAGAACACCGGUGGCGAAGGCGGCGACCUGGUCCGAUACUGACGCUGAGGCGCGAAAGCGUGGGGAGCGAACAGG
rnacentral:rRNA from 1 species